CCUACGGGAGGCAGCAGUGGGGGAUAUUGCACAAUGGGGGGUACCCUGAUGCAGCGACGCCGCGUGGGUGAAGAAGCGCCUCUGCGCUGAAAGCUCUUUCAGCAGGGAAGAAAAUUACGGUACCUGAAGAAGUAUCCCCGGCUAACUACGUUCCAGCUGCCGCGGUAAUACGUAGGGGGCCAGCGUUAUCCGGAUUUACUGGGUGUAAAGGGGGCGCAGACGGCGAUGCAAGCCAGGAGUGAAAGUCCGGGGCGCAACCCCGAGACUGCUCUUGGAACUGGGAGGCUGGAGUGCAGGAGGGGCAGGCGGAAUUCCUGGUGUAGCGGUGAAAUGCGUAGAUAUCAGGAGGAACACCGGUGGCGAAGGCGGCCUGCUGGACUGCAACUGACGUUGAGGCCCGAAAGCGUGGGGAGCAAACAGGAUUAGAUACCCCGGUAGUC
rnacentral:rRNA from 1 species